rnacentral:rRNA from 1 species
GACGAACGCUGGCGGCGUGCCUAACACAUGCAAGUCGAACGGAGAGAUACGAGAGCUUGCUCGUGUAAAUCUUAGUGGCAAACGGGAGAGUAACGCGUAAACAACCUGCCCAACGGAUGGGGACAACAGACGGAAACGACUGCGAAUACCCAAUAGACGCGGGAGUGGGAGGAAACCGACAGGAAAGGUGGCAGCUCGAAGAAGCUACGGCCGGAGGAGGGGUGUGGGUUUGACUAGUAAGGCGGGGGUGUGACGGCCUACCCAGACGAUGAUCAAUAGCCUGUCUGAGACGAUGGACGGCCCCCAUGGGACUGAGACACGGUCCCGACUCCUACGGGAGGCAGCAGUGGGGGAUCUUCCGCAAUUGAGGCAAGUCUGACGGCACCCCGCCGCGUGGGUGAAGAAGGCCUUCGGGUUGUAAAGGUCUGUUAUUCGGGAAGAACGAUUCGUUUGUAAAUAACGUACGGAAUUGACGGUACCAACAGAGAAAGCCACGGCUAACUACGUG